rnacentral:rRNA from 1 species
UACGUAGGGGGGCGAGCGUUGUCCGGAUUUAUUGGGCGUAAAGAGCGUGUAGGCGGUUCGGUAAGUCUGUCGUGAAAUCCUGAGGCUCAACCCUCGGAUGCCGGUGGAUACUGUCGGGCUAGAGUGCGGAAGAGGCGAGUGGAAUUCCUGGUGUAGCGGUGAAAUGCGCAGAUAUCAGGAGGAACACCAAUUGCGAAGGCAGCUCGCUGGGACGUGACUGACGCUGAGACGCGAAAAGCGUGGGGAGCAAACAGG